CAGAGGCUCAAUUUAGCUAUUAAAGACAUUAAAUCUCUUCUAGCCUGGGGGAAAACAACUCUCACCCUUAAAGCUGGAUUUCACUCCUAGGAUUCAUCUGGGUGAAGGAAGGAGUGGGGGCUGAGUAUAAAGAGUCGUAUGCCUGAAGAUAUUUUUUUACUGAGUCGCUGAAUAGGGUAAAGAGAGCCUAGGGAGGAUGAAACAGAGAUUUUUCCUUUAAUGAUGGAGUUAACUAGGAUGAACCAGGGAGCGUUAUGGUCCUAAUAUCAAGGAAAGGCUCCUGAUAUAUAUCCCUGGACUCCAUUUGUUGGUGGUAUUUGAUUGUAAUUCAGCAGAAGCUAGUGAUCUCUGAAGGGAAGGCACUAGUACCAUCAACUUCUAAAUAUCCAUGGACAAGGUUUUGA
rnacentral:lncRNA from 13 species